UACGUAGGUGGCAAGCGUUGUCCGGAAUUAUUGGGCGUAAAGCGCGCGCAGGCGGUUCCUUAAGUCUGAUGUGAAAGCCCACGGCUCAACCGUGGAGGGUCAUUGGAAACUGGGGAACUUGAGUGCAGGAGAGAAGAGUGGAAUUCCACGUGUAGCGGUGAAAUGCGUAGAGAUGUGGAGGAACACCAGUGGCGAAGGCGGCUCUCUGGGACGGUACUGACGCUGAGACGCGAAAGCGUGGGGAGCGAACAGG
rnacentral:rRNA from 1 species